AAAAUANGNUGUAGNUUAGGAAAGGAANANCNGGGNGGGGAAGGGCGGCCCCCCUGACAAAANCUGACANUCAGGAUNCGAAAGCGUGGGGGAGCAAACAAGGAUUAGAUACCCUGGUAGUNCACGCCGUAAACGAUGUCUACUUGGAGGGUUGUGGCCNUGAGCCGUGGCUUUCGGAGCUAACGCGUUAAGUAGACCGCCUGGGGAGUACGGUCGCAAGAUUAAAACUCAAAUGAAUUGACGGGGGCCCGCACAAGCGGUGGAGCAUGUGGUUUAAUUCGAUGCAACGCGAAGAACCUUACCUACUCUUGACAUCUACAGAAGCCAGCGGAGACGCAGGUGUGCCCUCGGGAACUGUAAGACAGGUGCUGCAUGGCUGUCGUCAGCUCGUGUUGUGAAAUGUUGGGUUAAGUCCCGCAACGAGCGCAACCCUUAUCCUUGUUUGCCAGCACUUCGGGUGGGAACUCCAGGGAGACUGCCGGUGAUAAACCGGAGGAAGGUGGGGACGACGUCAAGUCAUCAUGGCCCUUACGAGUAGGGCUACACACGUGCUACAAUGGCGCAUACAGAGGGCGGCCAACUUGCGAAAGUGAGCGAAUCCCAAAAAGUGCGUCGUAGUCCGGAUUGGAGUCUGCAACUCGACUCCAUGAAGUCGGAAUCGCUAGUAAUCGUGGAUCAGAAUGCCACGGUGAAUACGUUCCCGGGCCUUGUACACACCGCCCGUCACACCAUGGGAGUGGGCUGCAAAAGAAGUGGGUAGUUUAACCUUCGGGAGGACGCUCACCACUUUGUGGUUCAUGACUGGGGUGAAGUCGUAACAAGGUAACCG
rnacentral:rRNA from 1 species